rnacentral:rRNA from 1 species
GAUGAACGCUGGCGGCGUGCCUAAUACAUGCAAGUCGAGCGAACGGACGAGAAGCUUGCUUCUCUGAUGUUAGCGGCGGACGGGUGAGUAACACGUGGAUCACCUACCUAUAAGACUGGGAUAACUUCGGGAAACCGGAGCUAAUACCGGAUAAUAUUUUGAACCGCAUGGUUCAAAAGUGAAAGACGGUCUUGCUGUCACUUAUAGAUGGAUCCGCGCUGCAUUAGCUAGUUGGUAAGGUAACGGCUUACCAAGGCAACGAUGCGUAGCCGACCUGAGAGGGUGAUCGGCCACACUGGAACUGAGACACGGUCCAGACUCCUACGGGAGGCAGCAGUAGGGAAUCUUCCGCAAUGGGCGAAAGCCUGACGGAGCAACGCCGCGUGAGUGAUGAAGGUCUUCGGAUCGUAAAACUCUGUUAUUAGGGAAGAACAUAUGUGUAAGUAACUGUGCACAUCUUGACGGUACCUAAUCAGAAAGCCACGGCUAACUACGUG